rnacentral:rRNA from 1 species
UACGUAGGGCGCAAGCGUUUAUCCGGAAUUAUUGGGCGUAAAGAGCUCGUAGGCGGUUCGUCACGUCGGCUGUGAAAACCUGAGGCUCAACCUCAGGCCUGCAGUCGAUACGGGCGGACUUGAGUACUGCAGGGGGAGACUGGAAUUCCUGGUGUAGCGGUGAAAUGCGCAGAUAUCAGGAGGAACACCGGGUGGCGAAGGCGGGGUCUCUGGGCAGUAACUGACGCUGGAGGAGCGAAAGCGUGGGGGAGCGAACAGG